rnacentral:rRNA from 1 species
GUGCCAGCCGCCGCGGUAAUACGUAUGUCGCAAGCGUUAUCCGGAAUUAUUGGGCAUAAAGGGCAUCUAGGCGGCCAGAUAAGUCUGGGGUGAAAACUUGCGGCUCAACCGCAAGCCUGCCCUGGAAACUAUGUGGCUAGAGUACUGGAGAGGUGGACGGAACUGCACGAGUAGAGGUGAAAUUCGUAGAUAUGUGCAGGAAUGCCGAUGAUGAAGAUAGUUCACUGGACGGUAACUGACGCUGAAGUGCGAAAGCUAGGGGAGCAAACAGGAUUAGAUACCCUGGUAGUCCUAGCUGUAAACGAUGAUUACUGGGUGUGGGCAUGAAGAGUGUCCGUGCCGAAGCUAAUGCGAUAAGUAAUCCGCCUGGGGAGUACGGCCGCAAGGCUGAAACUCAAAGGAAUUGACGG